UAGUCCACGCCCUAAACGAUGUCUACUAGAUCGAGGGUUCUCUGACGGAUUCUUGGUCGAAAUGAAACGGUAAGUAGACCGCCUGGGGAGUACGGUCGCAAGGCUAAAACUCAAAGGAAUUGACGGGGGCUCACACAAGCGGUGGAGCAUGUUGCUUAAUUCGAUGCAACGCGAAGAACCUUAUCCUGGGCUUGACAUAUAUGGAUUAACUCUUGGAAACUUGAGCCACGCCCUUCGGGGUGGAACAUAUACAGGUGCUGCAUGGCUGUCGUCAGCUCGUGUCGUGAGAUGUUGGGUUAAGUCCCGUAACGAGCGAAACCCUUGUCUUUAGUUGCCAGCGAGUAAUGUCGGGGACUCUAAAGAGACUGCCGGUGUCAAACCGGNGGAAGGUGGGGAUGGACGUCAAGUCCUCAUGGCCUUUAUGCCCAGGGGCUGCAAACGUGCUACAAUGGGGGU
rnacentral:rRNA from 1 species